rnacentral:rRNA from 1 species
GGGCAGCAUGAGACGAGGAGGAGAUCAUUACCGAGUUUACAACUCCCAAACCCCUGUGAACAUACCUUAAUGUUGCCUCGGCGGAUCAGCCCGCGCCCGGUAAAACGGGACGGCCCGCCAGAGGAUCCAAACUCUUGCUGUUAUUGUAACUUCUGAGUAAAACAAACAAAUAAAUCAAAACUUUCAACAACGGAUCUCUUGGUUCUGGCAUCGAUGAAGAACGCAGCAAAAUGCGAUAAGUAAUGUGAAUUGCAGAAUUCAGUGAAUCAUCGAAUCUUUGAACGCACAUUGCGCCCGCCAGUAUUCUGGCGGGCAUGCCUGUUCGAGCGUCAUUUCAACCCUCAAGCCCCCGGGUUUGGUGUUGGGGAUCGGCAAGCCUUCUGGCGAGCCGCCCCCUAAAUCUAGUGGCGGUCUCACUGCAGCCUCCAUUGCGUAGUAGCUAACACCUCGCAACUGGAACGCGGUGCGGCCAUGCCGUUAAACCCCCAACUUCUGAAUGUUGACCUCGGAUCAGGUAGGAAUACCCGCUGAAACUUAAGCAAUCAUAACCCCGGGAGACACU